rnacentral:misc_RNA from 1 species
CAACCCUCAAGCCCUGCUUGGUGUUGGAGCACUACGCCUCGCGCGUAUGCUCUCAAGACUAGUGGCGGACCUUCUGUGAUCCCGAGCGUAGUAGCAUUACCGCUUUGGAGAGCCGGAGGGCCCUAGCCGUUAAACCCCUUUAAAUCUCAA